rnacentral:rRNA from 1 species
GGACUACCGGGGUUUCUAAUCCUGUUCGUUUCCUGUGCCUUCGUCCUUCAGCGUCAGUUUUUACAUAAAAGAUUGCCUUCGCCCUUGCCAGUCCCAUAGGUAUCAUAAAAUUUUAUCUCUCCUCCGCAAGUACGAUCUUCUCAUAUCAAACUCUAGCAAAAUUGUUCCUUUACAGGCAUAUCUUGCAGCUUGGGUACCCUUUAAACCUAUUUAAGAUGAAUAACACUAGCCUCUUACGUAUUACCGCGGCUGCUGGCAC